ensembl:snRNA U6 U6 spliceosomal RNA
GUGCUCGCUUUAGCAACACAUAUAUUAAAAUUGGAACAAUACAGAGAAGAUUACCAUGGCCCCUGUGCAAGGAUGACAUGCAAAUUCAUGAAGCAUUACAUAUUUUU